UACGGAGGGUGCAAGCGUUAUCCGGAUUCACUGGGUUUAAAGGGUGCGUAGGUGGGAUGGUAAGUCAGUGGUGAAAUCUCCAAGCUUAACUUGGAACUGCCGUUGAUACUAUCAUUCUUGAAUCUCGUGGAGGUAAGCGGAAUAUGUCAUGUAGCGGUGAAAUGCGUAGAUAUUAACAAGGAACACCAAUGGCGAAGGCAGCUUGCUGGGGCUUCUUCUGACACUGAGGUACGAAAGCGUGGGGAGCGAACAGG
rnacentral:rRNA from 1 species